UGGGGUGUAGCCAAGCGGUAAGGCAAAAGACUUUGACUCUUUGACGCGUUAGUUCGAAUCUAACCACCCCAGCCA
rnacentral:tRNA from 1 species